UAGCGGAGGAAAAGAAACCAACAGGGAUUGCCUUAGUAGCGGCGAGUGAAGCGGCAAAAGCUCAAAUUUGAAAUCUGGCACUUUCAGUGUCCGAGUUGUAAUUUGAAGAAGGUAUCUUUGGGUCUGGCUCUUGUCUAUGUUUCUUGGAACAGAACGUCACAGAGGGUGAGAAUCCCGUGCGAUGAGAUGUCCCAGACCUAUGUAAAGUUCCUUCGAAGAGUCGAGUUGUUUGGGAAUGCAGCUCUAAGUGGGUGGUAAAUUCCAUCUAAAGCUAAAUAUUGGCGAGAGACCGAUAGCGAACAAGUACAGUGAUGGAAAGAUGAAAAGAACUUUGAAAAGAGAGUGAAAAAGUACGUGAAAUUGUUGAAAGGGAAGGGCUUGAGAUCAGACUUGGUAUUUUGUAUGUUACUCUCUCGGGGGUGGCCUCUACAGUUUACCGGGCCAGCAUCAGUUUGGGCGGUAGGACAAUUGCAAAGAAAUGUGGCACUGCCUCGGUAGUGUGUUAUAGUCUUUGUCGAUACUGCCAGCCUAGACUGAGGACUGCGGCUUCGGCCUAGGAUGUUGGCAUAAUGAUCUUAAGUCGCCCGUCUUGA
rnacentral:rRNA from 1 species